CCCUUAAACAUUAACUGAAUGGAAACGGGUUGUCGUCUUUGUUGCACCGCUUGGGGGGUUUUCGGGAGGCAAAUGGACUUUCAGGACAGAGCUUGUCAAUAAAGCUUAUUUUAGUUGCUGAAAAUUCAACUCAAACUACAGUUUGCACAGAGGAGAGGAGGAAGCUGGGGUGGAAUGGAAACUUGCCCUUCUUAGCCUUUGGGAAUUGACUGUUUAUGGGGAAAGCGCUCUACUAUUCCCGUUUCUUUCUUUUUUAAAGGUUGGGACUUCAAAGGAAGAUGGGGAAGAAGAAAAGUUCCACGAGGAGGAAGAGAAGGAGGUGGAAGAGGAAGAGGAGGAAGAGGAAAUGAAAAACAAGAUUUACACUGAUCUAUCAGGAUGAUUACCCAACAUAAAGGAGUAAUUUAUCUCUUUUGUUCUGAUCUCAAAGAAUACACUGGCAGUACCCCUUUCCUUUAAAAUUUUGAAACAUUCAUUUGGCAAAAUCACAUACCAGUUCUAUUUUAAUGCAUUCCAUAUUUUAAAUAUAUCAUCUAUCAAGUUGCACAAAACAAAAAUCUCAAGAAUACAACCAAUUAAGAGUUAUUGACUUCACAGAAAUUAACAGCCUCACCCAUUCUAUUCUCUAAAGGGGAAAUAAAAUUGUCUGGCACGGUGCUCCUGGUAGGGA